rnacentral:rRNA from 1 species
UACGUAGGGUGCAAGCGUUGUCCGGAAAGUUACUGGGCGUAAAGAGCUCGUAGGUGGUUUGUCGCGUUGUUCGUGAAAACUCACAGCUCAACUGUGGGCGUGCGGGCGAUACGGGCAGACUAGAGUACUGCAGGGGAGACUAGGAAUUCCUGGUGUAGCGGUGGAAUGCGCAGAGUAUCAGGAGGAACACCGGUGGCGAAGGCGGCUCACUGGCUCGUAUCUGACGCUCAGGCGCGACAGCCGUGGGGAUCAAACAGG